rnacentral:rRNA from 1 species
AUUGAACGCUGGCGACAUGCCUUACACAUGCCAGUCGAACGGCAGCACGGGUGCUUGCACCUGGUGGCGAGUGGCGAACGGGUGAGUAAUACAUCGGAACAUGUCCUGUAGUGGGGGAUAGCCCGGCGAAAGCCGGAUUAAUACCGCCUACGAUCUACGGAUGAAAGCGGGGGACCUUCGGGCCUCGCGCUAUAGGGUUGGCCGAUGGCUGAUUAGCUAGUUGGUGGGGUAAAGGCCUACCAAGGCGACGAUCAGUAGCUGGUCUGAGAGGACGACCAGCCACACGGGGACUGAGCCACGGCCCAGACUCCUACGGGAGGCAGCAGUGGGGAAUUUUGGACAAUGGGCGAAAGCCUGAUCCAGCAAUGCCGCGUGUGUGAAGAAGGCCUUCGGGUUGUAAAGCACUUUUGUCCGGAAAGAAAUCCUUGGCCCUAAUACGGUCGGGGGAUGACGGUACCGGAAGAAUAAGCACCGGCUAACUACGUG